AUGCUAAACCCGAGAGGUGGCUGCUGUCUCCCAGGGCUCCAGUCGCCAGGGCUGCCGGCUGACUUCCCAACCACAUGGAAACGCACCAAGCGACCCAGGUGCCCAGGCUGGGGAGACAGGGAGAGGGCAGGGAGGGGGUAGCGGCAAAGGAGGCGGUGGGUCAUCCCAGAUCGCUGAAUGUGGAAGUUUCUUGUUUUUAACUCCAGUUUUUCUAGUGAGAUCAGACCACUGGCAAAGGCUCAAACAGCUCUACUUGACUUCCAUCCUGACCCAUCUCUUGCCUUAAAGAAGGGAUAUAUAUGUAAAAUUUCAGUCAUUGUCCCCGCUCCCGCUCCCCCCCCCCCCGCAUUCCUCCUCUCUCUUGCCUCCAAGGGCUUUUUACAUUUUAUUAAGUGGCCCUUAUUAAGGCUAUUUUGGUGAUUAUAAUGGUGAACUAAACUCUCAAAUAUCCCCUUCUUUCUGGUUUUUUGUUUGUUUUUGUUUUGUGGGGUUUUGUUUGUUUGUUUGUUUGUUUGUUUGUUUGUUUGUUUUGCAUAUACUUGGCUCGAGGAAGUCUGCAUUGCAGGAUUCAGUGAAUGUGCACUGCUAAGUGGCCUGCUUGCUCAUCCUGGAGAACACACCUGAACCCCGGACCUGGUGGGGGGCACCAAGGGGCUGGUGGUAUGGUAAGAAACUCAAAGGGGUGUCCCGUGAACGUUGCCUCAAAAUGUUUCACAGUUUGUAUUGUUUUUUUCUCUCCCCUUAAGCUGACUUCUCAGUGUUAAGUGUCCAUCUUUUUCGGUUCAGAGAAGUAUGUCCACAUAACAAAAGCCACAAGCUGGCAUACCCGUGGAGAAAGCAUUGAAACCUGGGCCUAAAGCUACAUGUUACCUUCUCAUCUCUAGAAUUUUCUUUUCUGAAUGACUCAUGUUUAAAAAAAGGAAAAUGUAAGAACACACAUACUAAAGUGGAGCUAAGUUUUCUGGUCUUUUCGACCUGUGGGGCCCCAACCUCAAUGCUUUAAAUGUCUGGAUUAAAUUACAUUCUUAAAGGGUCCCAAGGCAUCCCAAAUCUGCCUUUUUCUCUUCAAGGUUCAUUUUUUCCCUAAAGAAAGGUUACUCUGCCAGCUGCUUCUCUGGCCAUGAUGACCACAAGCCUCAGACCCAACUCCAGGGUCCCUCUGUGUAGCUCCUACCCCCAGGUCUCUGCGGCUGCCUUCCUUGGAAUGCCUCCUGAGACCUUUGACGCUGGUGUCACCGAAUCCUCCCCUGUAGUUUGUUUUUAUAGUCAUUUCUGCUGGUAGAUCUCAUGAUGUCAGCCACACCUGUGCAUAGAACCUGGCCUCUGCUCGGUGAUUAAAGCUUGCCUUGCCCUCCAAGGUCCCGGAUUCAAUCCCCAACACCACAAAAAUGAAUACAUUGCAAUUUUUGUUUUGUUUUAAGACAGAGUCUAACGUAGCCCAGGCUGGCCUCAAACUCACUCUGCAGCCAAGGAUGACCUUGAAUGCUCUGUUCCUCCUGCUUCCACGUCCCCAAGUGCUGGGACAGCAGGCAUGUGCUACCAUCCCAGCUAAUUUUCUUUCUUCUUGCUUUUUAUUUAGCUAUUUGAUUGUUGCAUUUAUCAGAUUUUGCUAGUGCAAAGAACCUUUUUAAAAAACAAACAAACAAACAAACUAAAUCCUUAUUUGUGUGUGUGUUUGUCUGCACACAGGCAUCUGAAUGCACACCCAUUCAGAGGUCAGAAGAGGACCUCGGGUAUCCUGCCCUAUCAUGUCGUGCUGCAUCUCUGAGCCUGGAGCCUGCUAGUUUUCAGCCGAGUUGAGUGGCCAACAAAGACAGUAAUCCUCCUGUCUCUGCACACAGCCACUGGGCCACGCAGACUUUGGUGCGAGUGCUGGCGACAGCAGGCAGUUACCUACUGACCAUCCCCUGUCCCAAUUAGAAGCAACUUGACUUUAAAGCCAUUAGAAAUAAUAUAUAAACCAUUUUUAAAAAGAGAAGGAGCUGAAUGUCUUGGGACACACCUUUAAUUCCAGAAGGCAGAGGCAGGUAGAUCUCUGUGAAUUUGAAGUCAGCCUGGUCUACAUAGCAGUUCCAGGCCAGAAGGGCUAUGUAGUAAGGCCCUGUCUUAAACAGGAACAAACUAAACUUU
rnacentral:lncRNA from 1 species